AUUUAAUCUCAAUCGCGAAAAACAAUGUCAUUAUAGAAAUAAGACAUGUUAUAGAGAUUGCUAAAAAGCAAACAUAUUGAACAUGCCACAUAAUGACCACAUAUUUUCUGAAAUAUUAAAACUCAACAGAAAAAGGGCUGAAGGUGGCCCAAUCUUAUGCAAAUGGGCCACGCUGGGAAGCCAGCCUAGGGCCGGCCUAGUCAGCCAAUUGGAUAAGGAGCAAGCGGCCAUGGAUUGCGAUCCCCAGCCAGCAUCCAUCCCCAAUCCUCACGACCGACGCGGGCGGCUGACUGCCAUGGCCUGUCGGCCGUUUCUCCGGCAACUCGUGGAGAGACCAAGAUCCGGCCGGAGCGCCGCCGAGCCUCGCGUUGGAGGCCGGAGAAGGCUGCGCCAGAGGACUCCGGGGAGGGCGUGCCGGCUCGAUUGGGCAUAGGCGAAGACGCCCACGGCCGGUCGGCGCACCACCGGCGGCAAGAGGAUCUCCCGCCCCGCUCGUCCUCGGAGUAGGCGCGACGCCGCGCGGACGGGCGCGGGCGCUCCACACGGGCGAGCGCGAAGAGGUGGCCGCAUCCAACGGCGCGGGCGGACGCAGCGCGGUGGCCGCGUCCUGUGGCGCAAUGGCCGUUCAGUCCCGUGGAGGAGCAGCCAAGGCGCAUGGUUGGGGCACCGCUAGGGAUGUUGACAAAAAACAGCAGCAGUUGCCGCUCGAUCCGGUGCAAGAGGAAGUGAACGCAUGCCAUGAGACUCGCCGGGCAUGGCUUGCCGCGGAAGAGCCUCACCGGUGUGCCGUGAACAGGUCGUGGCCAUGUACGGCGCGAGGCUGCCGCUUGGAAGCGCUUCCGCCGGUCCGAGAGCCACUGUGGUAGCGGGCGCCACCACGGCGAACCAAGGGCUGCAGCCGUCAAACUCGCGGGCGAUGCAGUAGCCAGGAACCAUCGCGCCGAUGGAAUUGCUCCGCUGGGAGCGUGCUGAUAACGUGUUGGAAAAGAGACGAGCGAGAGAGGCAACAAAUGAUUCAACUGUCCUCUUCAUUGAUGAUGAUUUACAUUAUAUAUCCCUUGAGGGGACGCAUCCACCGGACGCGGCGUUUGGAAGAGAAGGGAGAGAAAGAUGCGACGGUUAGCAUAUGGCUAACUGCCUCCCAAUUACAACGUGGAGAUUAUCCACAUAAUUAAUUGUAACAAGUGGUGCUGCUCGUUGAUUAUGUCAUUAGCUAUUGUUCGAGUAUAUUAGCUGCAUGGUGCACCGGCCAACUAUAUUUGCUGUUGUUCCUACAAAUUUCUUAACAUGCGGUUUCUAUCU